GAGUUUGAUCCUGGCUCAGGAUGAACGCUAGCGGCAGGCUUAACACAUGCAAGUCGAGGGGUAACAUUGGUGCUUGCACCAGAUGACGACCGGCGCACGGGUGAGUAACGCGUAUACAAUCUACCUUAUAUUGGGGGAUAGCCUUUAGAAAUGAAGAUUAAUACCCCAUAGUACCAUUAUAUAUCAUUAUAUUUUGGUUAAAGGUUACGAUAUAAGAUGAGUAUGCGUCCUAUUAGUUUGUUGGUAAGGUAACGGCUUACCAAGACUACGAUAGGUAGGGGCCCUGAGAAGGGGAUCCCCCACACUGGUACUGAGACACGGACCAGACUCCUACGGGAGGCAGCAGUGAGGAAUAUUGGACAAUGGAGGCAACUCUGAUCCAGCCAUGCCGCGUGCAGGAAGACUGCCCUAUGGGUUGUAAACUGCUUUUAUAUAGGAAGAAACGUCCCGAUGUAUCGGGAUUUGACGGUACUAUAAGAAUAAGGACCGGCUAACUCCGUGCCAGCAGCCGCGGUAAUACGGAGGGUCCGAGCGUUAUCCGGAAUCAUUGGGUUUAAAGGGUCCGUAGGCGGGCGUCUAAGUCAGUGGUGAAAUCUUACAGCUCAACUGUAAAAUUGCCAUUGAAACUGGAUGUCUUGAAUUAGUGUGAAGUGGUUAGAAUGUGUAGUGUAGCGGUGAAAUGCAUAGAUAUUACACAGAAUACCAAUUGCGAAGGCAGAUCACUAACACUAUAUUGACGCUGAGGGACGAAAGCGUGGGGAGCGAACAGGAUUAGAU
rnacentral:rRNA from 1 species